rnacentral:tRNA from 1 species
GAGAGCGCUUGCAUGGCAUGCAAGAGGUCAGCGGUUCGAUCCCGCUUAUCUCCA